UAAUACAUAAGUAACCUAGCCCUGACAGGGGGAGUAACUAAUUGGUAAACGAUAGCUAGACCGCAUAGGUACGGACACUGCAUGGUGACCGUAUUAAAAGUGCCUCAAAGCACUGGUAGAGGAUGGACUUAUGGCGCAUUAGCUGGUUGGCGGGGUAACGGCCCACCAAGGCGACGAUGCGUAGCCGACCUGAGAGGGUGACCGGCCACACUGGGACUGAGACACGGCCCAG
rnacentral:rRNA from 1 species